UGAACUUGGUGCUCGUGGCAUAUCUAUUGCCCGGUAACAGGACAUGGGAGGACUCAGGUUGAGCAACAGAGGAACAAAAAUCAAAGCAGAAGAAGAAAUCCAGGACAAAUAAUGGGCAUAUAAAAGCUGCUCUGAGGAUGGUAAGAUCAUUGAAGAGGAUAACCUUUCAGUUUUCUUACACACACAGUUAUUGAAUUGUUUUAGUGCCCCAGUAGUGGGACACAAUUAUGUCUCUUUCACUGGACCUGAGCUCCGUCCACAAGGAUGAGUCACUGGGAACACUGGAGAAGCAGCUUAUCUGCCCCAUCUGCCUGGAGGUCUUCAGCAAACCUGUAGUCAUCCUGCCAUGCCAGCACAACCUCUGCCGCAAAUGUGCGAAUGAACUUUACCAGCCUUCUCUGUUCCAGGUUGGGAUUGGAGGUCGAUUUCGGUGUCCAUCCUGUCGACAUGAAGUCGUUUUGGACCGUCAUGGGGUUUAUGGGCUCCAGAGAAACCUUCUAGUUGAAAAUAUCAUCGAUGUCUACAAGCAGGCAUCUGCAAGUUGUGUGCCUCCACCCAAACCACUGGCACAAAUAAACUGUGAAGAACAUGAAGGAGAGAAGCUGAACAUUUACUGCAUCACCUGUCAGAUCCCCACAUGUUCACUCUGUAAAGUGUUUGGAGCACAUAAGACCUGUCAGGUGGCCCCCAUCUCUGAUGUAUAUCAGCAGCAAAAGACCGAACUCACUGAUGACGUUGGAUCCCUGGUUGCCACUAAUGACCGCAUUCAAACCUGCAUAAAUGAUCUGGAGGAAAUCUGUAGGAGUAUUGAGGAAAACAGCAAAAACCAAAAGCAGAUACUGUGCGAGAAGUUUGACCGUAUGAGUGGAAUCCUGGAGGAAAGACGUAAGAUUAUGUUACAGCAGAUCACAUAUGAGGAGGAUGAAAAGGCAAGCUUGGCCCAAAGCUUGGUCCAUACCUACAGUGAGCAUGUUGGUACAAACUCACAGUUGGUGCAAACUGCUUUAAAUGCCAUGGAAGAACAAGAGAUGGCUGCAUUUCUUCAGAACUCAAAAUAUCUUAUGAAACAGGUCAAUGAGGCAACUAAAUCUGCUCCAGUGGAGACCUUAGAGCCUGGAUUUGAAAACAUGGAUCACUUUAAGGUUGAUUUUAAUGUUGAGGAGAGAGCUCUCUACCAACUAGAUUUCAUCAAACCUGAAGAGGAAGUUGAAGAGCCUCCAGAAGAACCAGCACUGGAACCCGAGCCAGAAAUUUUACCAGAACCUGAACAUGAACAUGAACCAGCACACAGUCCAGUGAAGACCUCUGUGCCAGACAAUGAACUGGAGUUGGAAAACUGUGAGAUAAAAAAUGUUGUAUCUGAGACAAAGGAGGAAAACCAAGCACAAGUAGAGAGAUGUCCAGCAAGACAAAAAGAUGGUAUUUGUGAAAAGAGUGGACUGAACACCCAACAGGCUAUCAUCCAUAUACUUUACGCCCUGGCCUUUCUGGUCAUCCUCCAGAGGGUGUGGGGGAACAUUCAGUGCCUUUUUUGCAUAUAGCACUAUGGGGGGAUUACAGAUUUCAGGGUGAGCCCUUCUCAUUGGGAGCCCAGGACAAAAGAGAGAUGGAGCAGAGCACUGAUACAAGCUUGCACAGCUACUCUGAUGCCCCCCUGUGGUAGAGAGAGAGAAGCAAGCAAGCAUGCAAACAGUUAGUCAGACUGCAGUUGCAGACCAGUCAGAGGUGAAAGCCAGCUGUGCUGCUGUUACAAGUGAGUCGGCACGUAUCAGCUUCUCCUUCUCAUGGCUAAAUCUGCUUGCAAAGAAGAAGUAAAAUUACCUAUCAAAAAGAAGCCAUCAGCUGCACCAGCCAUUUACUCCAGCUCGCCAUAACGUAUUGAGUUCACUUAACUGAACAUUGUCCAGUAGGUCCACCUACUACUCCUGCUGUAUUUUGUGAAAGAUGUCAGCACCAGCUCUUAGUAAAGAUAUUUACCACAGAUUUGCUUGAUUUUGCUUCUAAUAGUUUUGAUUAUUACAAACUAUAUGGUUAUAAAUUCUAUAUAGAUACCUGUCUGAGCUAAAAAACUUCAUUGGUGGUUUUGAGAAAGGCCCAGUGUCUCAAUCUAUUUCUAUACGUUUGUUUGGUUGUGACUUGAGAAGACUGAAGUCAUACUGUAGUGCAGUAUUAAAGUUGUACUGAUGGCAUUGACGUGAAAGUGUUACUUUUUAAAAAAAUGAAAAAGUAUGUUUGCUGAACUGUUUAUCUAGUUUUUUUUUCUUUCAAUUUCUAUUAUAAUACACAAGGUUUAUUUAAAAAAUUUGAAAAAUAAAACAAACAACUGCUGCUUGUAUACUUAUUUUUUGACAAGACACUCACAUACUCUCACUCAUCGUCUAUCAGGGUCUGGGGUCUAUCCCAGGAGAUUUAGGGCAUGAGGCAGGGUACAGGCUGGACGAGGUG